CCUACGGGAGGCAGCAGUGGGGGAUAUUGCACAAUGGGGGAAACCCUGAUGCAGCGACGCCGCGUGGGCGAAGAAGUAUUUCGGUAUGUAAAGCCCUAUCAGCAGGGAAGAAGAAAUGACGGUACCUGUUUAGAAAGCUCCGGCUAACUACGUGCCAGCAGCCGCGGUAAUACGUAGGGAGCAAGCGUUGUCCGGAAUUACUGGGCGUAAAGGGCGCGUAGGUGGGCGCUUAAGUCAGGUGUGAAAACUCCGGGCUCAACCUGGAGACUGCACUUGAAACUGAUGAUCUUGAGUGGGCGAGAAGUAUGCGGAAUGCGUGGUGUAGCGGUGAAAUGCAUAGAUAUCACGCAGAACUCCGAUUGCGAAGGCAGCAUACCGGCGCCCGACUGACGCUGAAGCACGAAAGCGUGGGUAUCGAACAGGAUUAGAUACCCCGGUAGUC
rnacentral:rRNA from 1 species